CCUUAUGUCCAUACCAAUCUGAUGACGCCCGAUCUCGUCAGAUCUCAGGAAGCUAAGCAGGGUCGGACCUGGUCAGUACUUGGAUGGGAGACCUCCUGGGAAUACCAGGUGCUAUAAUAA
rnacentral:rRNA from 1 species